AGACUCAAGGACACAUGGAUAGUCUUCCCAGGAAUUGAGAGGUGUUCAGGAGGCAUAUGGGGUUGCUAACAUUUUAGGCACAGUAGACUGCACCCAAGUAAAAAUAUUUCCAUAACCUUUACCGCAUGGCGUACAGUUUCUAAACAGAAAAGGAAUUCAUUCGCUAAACGUUCAGUUGAAAUCUUCCAAUAAAAGGCGAACCUGAAGCGGAAAUGGAAGGGGGCGCUGCUCGAGGGAUGCAUUACAUGCAGAGAAGCGUGCCCUAUUAAUAAAUAAAUAUUUCGCCUAGUA